AUACGGUCAAAUCACGCUGAAACACCGGUUCUCGUACGAUCACCGAAGUUAAGCAGCGUAGAGCCAGGUCAUGGGGGACCGCUUGGGAACACCUUGUACUGUAC